rnacentral:rRNA from 1 species
AGAGUUUGAUCCUGGCUCAGGAUGAACGCUAGCUACAGGCUUAACACAUGCAAGUCGAGGGGCAGCAGGACGGUAGCUUGCUACUGUCGCUGGCGACCGGCGCACGGGUGAGUAACGCGUAUCCAACCUUCCCCUGAGUAGGGAAUAGCCCGGCGAAAGUCGGAUUAAUGCCCUAUGUUGUCCGACGAUAGCAUUUGAAUCGGAUGAAAGAUUUAUCGCUCAGGGAUGGGGAUGCGUCUGAUUAGGUUGCAGGCGGGGUAACGGCCCACCUGGCCGACGAUCAGUAGGGGUUCUGAGAGGAAGGUCCCCCACAUUGGAACUGAGACACGGUCCAAACUCCUACGGGAGGCAGCAGUGAGGAAUAUUGGUCAAUGGGCGAGAGCCUGAACCAGCCAAGUAGCGUGCAGGAAGACGGCCCUAUGGGUUGUAAACUGCUUUUGGAGGGGAAUAAAGUGGCGUACGUGUACGCCUUUGUAUGUACCCUCAGAAUAAGGACCGGCUAAUUCCGUGCCAGCAGCCGCGGUAAUACGGAAGGUCCGGGCGUUAUCCGGAUUUAUUGGGUUUAAAGGGAGCGCAGGCCGCCGAUUAAGCGUGACGUGAAAUGUCCCGGCUCAACCGGGGAGUUGCGUCGCGAACUGGUUGGCUUGAGUGCGGACGAGGUAUGCGGAAUUCGUGGUGUAGCGGUGAAAUGCUUAGAUAUCACGAAGAACCCCGAUUGCGAAGGCAGCGUACCAGGCCGUAACUGACGCUAAUGCUCGAAGGUGCGGGUAUCGAACAGGAUUAGAUACCCUGGUAGUCCGCACGGUAAACGAUGGAUGCCCGC